rnacentral:rRNA from 1 species
CCUCCCAAACCCCUGUGAACAUACCACUUGUUGCCUCGGCGGAUCAGCCCGCUCCCGGUAAAACGGGACGGCCCGCCAGAGGACCCCUAAACUCUGUUUCUAUAUGUAACUUCUGAGUAAAACCAUAAAUAAAUCAAAACUUUCAACAACGGAUCUCUUGGUUCUGGCAUCGAUGAAGAACGCAGCAAAAUGCGAUAAGUAAUGUGAAUUGCAGAAUUCAGUGAAUCAUCGAAUCUUUGAACGCACAUUGCGCCCGCCAGUAUUCUGGCGGGCAUGCCUGUUCGAGCGUCAUUUCAACCCUCAAGCACAGCUUGGUGUUGGGACUCGCGUUAAUUCGCGUUCCCCAAAUUGAUUGGCGGUCACGUCGAGCUUCCAUAGCGUAGUAGUAAAACCCUCGUUACUGGUAAUCGUCGCGGCCACGCCGUUAAACCCCAACUUCUGAAUGUUGACCUCGGAUCAGGUAGGAAUACCCGCUGAACUUAAGCAUAUCAAUAAGCGGGGGAAAAAGAAA